CUCAACUGUGCCCUGUCACCUCUCACCCUGCUGCUGGAGAGGCUCGGUUUGCUCCUGGAAGUCGUGACUGUGAAACGUGGAUGUUUUGCUGUGACGUCCAUUGCUACUCUCAUGCUGGGGUCCUGCUCUCUCUGUCCAGGUUCCGUCACCGCAGAGCUGGACAUCAAGGCCGAGGACCUUCUCAGUGGGCAGAAGUGUGUCUCUACAAAUAGUGCCAGUGUGGGGCCUUGAGCACUGCCAAGAGGUUUUGCCCCAGGGGCUUCCAGGAGGCCUUGCCAUCGUCAGUGCAUGAUACCACCUCCCUGGGUCUGAGGCUGCGUCCUGGAGUGCAUGGGUCCCUCCGAGGGACUAGGACCGGCAGAUACUCAGCGUCCACAACUAUGAACACCUGAGCAGAGGCGGGCUGGGAUCCAGGCCCAGCUUGCUGGAAGCUUCUCCAUGGGAUCUCUCAGGAUCCCCAUUUUCU
ensembl:lncRNA novel transcript